GAUGAACGCUGGCGGCGUGCCUAAUACAUGCAAGUCGAGCGAACGGACGAGAAGCUUGCUUCUCUGAUGUUAGCGGCGGACGGGUGAGUAACACGUGGAUAACCUACCUAUAAGACUGGGAUAACUUCGGGAAACCGGAGCUAAUACCGGAUAAUAUUUUGAACCGCAUGGUUCAAAAGUGAAAGACGGUCUUGCUGUCACUUAUAGAUGGAUCCGCGCUGCAUUAGCUAGUUGGUAAGGUAACGGCUUACCAAGGCAACGAUGCAUAGCCGACCUGAGAGGGUGAUCGGCCACACUGGAACUGAGACUCGGUCCAGACUCCUACGGGAGGCAGCAGUAGGGAAUCUUCCGCAAUCGGCGAAAGCCUGACGGAGCAACGCCGCGUGAGUGAUGGAGGUCUUCGGAUCGUAAAACUCUGUUAUUAGGGAAGAACAUAUGUGUAAGUAACUGUGCACAUCUUGACGGUACCGAAUCAGAAAGCCACGGCUAACUACGUG
rnacentral:rRNA from 1 species